UACGAAGGGAGCUAGCGUUGUUCGGAAUCACUGGGCGUAAAGCGCACGUAGGCGGAUGUGUCAGUCAGGGGUGAAAUCCAGGAGCUCAACUUCGGAACUGCCUUUGAUACAGCACGUCUUGAGUCCGAUAGAGGUGGGUGGAAUUCCUAGUGUAGAGGUGAAAUUCGUAGAUAUUAGGAAGAACACCAGUGGCGAAAGCGGACUUCUGGGUUGUUACUGACGCUGAGGUACGAAAGCGUGGGGAGCAAACGGG
rnacentral:rRNA from 1 species